AUACAAACAUGCUUUAAAGUCAACUCACCCCAAUUUGUAGCUUUUCACACUUCCGGUUUGAUGGCAACACGGAAGCGAAGGCUGUUGUUAGCUGGUUAGCUAAGUGGCUAACAACAUAGCACCUUGCACAGAUUUCACAACAGUUGACAGGAAAAUGACGCGCAGAAGCAAAAACAUUUAGCAGCCGAGACAGAUCAGUGUGAGGCGAUGUUAUUCUAUACCGAGAACCGAAUUCUGGAACAAUAUCAUCGUUUGUUAAAUAAAUAAACACAUCCGGUUCAGCAGCAAAGCGAGUCAGAACAUCUUCAGCGGGGGAAAGAAAUCCUGUCUCGCCUCACAGUCCUGGGAUCGAAAUGCUGACCUCUUCUGCUCCUCGGACCUGCCUGAUCCAUCCUGGUGCCCUGUGUCUGGUUGGAGUCUCAUCGCAUCGCUCCUGUGGAGGGUGGCCCCAUGUGGACAGUUGGGGGUCACGCUUGGAGGACGCUCUGGACUCUUGCAGUGGUGCUUUUGUGGCUGGGGACUGCAGUUGGCUUGCUGACUUUGGGGCUACAGUUGACUUGCUGACUUUGGGACUGUGGUUGUCGUGGGCGGGUUUGCACUUGGGUUUCCAUCGGUGGGGGCUUUGUGUUAGGACUGUUGAUGUUGUAGUCGUGUUGUCUGUUGUUGCCCUGGUGAGGAUGGGUCCCCUUUUGGGUCUGGUUCCUCUCGGGGUUUCUUCCUCGUAUCAUCUGGGGGGGUUUCCUUGCUGCCGUCGCCACGGGCGUGCUCAUUGGGGUUUAAAUUGGCUCAUAUUUUGGGUCGUUCAAAUUCUGUAAAGCUGCUUUGCAACAAUGUUUAUUGUUAAAAGCGCUAUACAAAUAAACUUGACUUGACAUUGGACACAAAAAUUGGGGAGAAGCUACCGUAUGUCUUUUAAGAGGACCAGCAAUGUGAAUGGGAUCAUUCAUUCAUAUUCAGUCAGCACUUUAUUGGGUCACACUGAGGGUGGAAAUGCACUCUGGAUGGGUGACCAGUCCAUCAUCGGACACCGUACACACUCAUCAAGGGGAAAUUUAGAAUUGCCAGUCCAACUACCAGUAGGUUUUUGUGACACCGGAUGAACCCCACAACAUGCAAAACUCCAGACACACCAAAAACAGAGAUCGGGGUCAAACCGAUGACCCUGGACCCUUGAGGUACUAACACUACCUGCUGCACCUCCAUUGUACCCAAUACUCAAGUAUUUCAGCCCUCAACCUGGUUGCCUCGCACACCCCCCUUCAGCAUCUGACAUGUCAUCCUCACAGUCCCCCCCCCCCCCCCCCCCCAACACACACACACAUACAUACAUCUCAUCGUUCAUUAACGCACUGAACUCAGGGCCCGCACAUCUCACUUUACCUCGCUCAUUUGCACUAUUCCGCACUACCUCAACUUAACAGCUGCUAGUUUGUUUAUUCUGCUUAUUUCAUGUUUACCUGCUAUACCUCAAGUGCCCUUGACUGUUUGGUUAUUUGAACCAAUUUAUGUGUGUGUGUGUGUUUAGUCUACGUCUAGUUCAUAUCUAGAGUGUUUAUACUGUUUAUAUUGUCUGUUUGAGUGUUUAGUCUGUGUGUAGUUCUUAUCUAGUGUUUACACUGUUUAUAUUGUCUGAGUGUUUAGUCUAUGUCUUGUUUUAUCUAGUGUUUACGGUAUACUGUUUAUUUAUACUGUUUAUAUUGUUUGUCUGAGUGUUUAGUCUAUGUCUAGUUCCUAUCUAGAGUGUUUAUACUGUUUAUAUUGUUGUUUGUUUGUUUUUUCAAUUAUUCUAUUUUUAUUUAUUGCAUUGCCUGUUUGCACCGUGGGUCAGAGAGGACUGAUAUUUCAUCUGUGCUGUAUGUUGAGCAUGUAUAGCAUAUUUGACAAUAAACUUGACUUGACUUGA